UCCCAGUAAAGAGCAGUGAGCUGCAGGCCAUCAAGACGGAGCUGACACAGAUCAAGUCCAAUAUCGAUGCCCUGCUGAGCCGCUUGGAGCAGAUCGCUGCAGAGCAAAAGGCCAAUCCAGAUGGCAAGAAGAAGGGUGAUGGAGGUGGCGCCAGCGGCGGCGGUGGUGGUGGUGGCGGCGGCGGUGGCAGUGGUGGUGGCAGUGGCAGCAGCCGGCCACCAGCCCCCCAAGAGAACACGACUUCUGAGGCAGGCCUGCCCCAGGGAGAAGCACGGACCCGAGACGACGGCGAUGAGGAGGGGCUGCUGACACACAGCGAGGAAGAGCUGGUGAGGGCCUGGCCAGGGGCACGACUGGGACUCGACUGCGCUCCUACUCUCAGGAGGCCAACAGGGGAACGGGCAGCCUGAGCUGGUUGCCCCCACUGUGAACUUCCUGUUCUCACCUUCCCGGGGGUUCUGGUCCUGGGGGAAAGAGGGAAGAAUGAGCAGGGGGCACUUGCCUAUCUCAGACACCAUCAGAAGUCCCACUGAGGCCUAGGGCAGACCUCCCCCAAAUGCAGGCACAUUCUGGCCUCCGGUUUCCACAUGAGUUGGAGAAGGGGAGGUUCGGACAUAAGGGAGCACACACGGCCUGCAGAGCUUCAGAGCAGGGCUGGGGUGGCUUGUGGAGGCCACAGCCAGGAGGUGGGUUUCUCUAAAGGCCAUUGCUGCUUAAGCAUGAAGCAAAAGCUGUCUCAUAAGGGGGUGAGCUCCCCACCUAUU
rnacentral:sRNA from 1 species